rnacentral:rRNA from 1 species
AGCGAACGCUGGCGGCAGGCUUAACACAUGCAAGUCGAGCGGGCACUUUCGGGUGUCAGCGGCGGACGGGUGAGUAACGCGUGGGAACGUGCCCUCUGGUUCGGAAUAACUCAGGGAAACUUGAGCUAAUACCGGAUACGCCCUUUUGGGGAAAGGCUUGCUGCCGGAGGAUCGGCCCGCGUCUGAUUAGCUAGUUGGUGAGGUAACGGCUCACCAAGGCGACGAUCAGUAGCUGGUCUGAGAGGAUGAUCAGCCACACUGGGACUGAGACACGGCCCAGACUCCUACGGGAGGCAGGAGUGGGGAAUAUUGGACAAUGGGCGCAAGCCUGAUCCAGCCAUGCCGCGUGAGUGAUGAAGGCCUUAGGGUUGUAAAGCUCUUUUAUCCGGGACGAUAAUGACGGUACCGGAGGAAUAAGCCCCGGCUAACUUCGUG